rnacentral:rRNA from 1 species
GAUGAACGCUAGCGGCAGGCUUAAUACAUGCAAGUCGAGGGGCAGCACAGGUAGCAAUACUGGGUGGCGACCGGCAAACGGGUGCGGAACACGUACACAACUUACCUUAGAGUGGGGGAUAGCCCAGGGAAACUUGGAUUAAUACCCCAUAAAACAGGGGGCCCGCAUGGGCAUAUUGUUAAAGAUUUAUCACUUUAAGAUGGGUGUGCGUAUGAUUAGGUAGUUGGUAGGGUAAAGGCCUACCAAGUCGACGAUCAUUAACUGGUGUGAGAGCACGACCAGUCACACGGGCACUGAGACACGGGCCCGACUCCUACGGGAGGCAGCAGUAAGGAAUAUUGGUCAAUGGACGGAAGUCUGAACCAGCCAUGCCGCGUGAAGGAUGAAGGUCCUCUGGAUUGUAAACUUCUUUUAUAGGGGGCGAAAAAGGGCCAUUCUUGGUCAACUGACGGUACCCUAUGAAUAAGCACCGGCUAACUCCGUGCCAGCAGCCGCCGUAACAC